rnacentral:sRNA from 1 species
CCUUGUUGCCUUUCUUGGACGUUUCCUCCCAAACUCAAGCCGCCGGGGCGACCCGGCGGUUUUUUUUGGCGGCA